rnacentral:rRNA from 1 species
AGUGAACGCUGGCGGUAGGCCUAACACAUGCAAGCCGAACGGCAGCACAGUAAGAGCUUGCUCUUACGGGUGGCGAGUGGCGGACGGGUGAGGAAUACAUCGGAAUCUCCUUUUUCGUGGGGGAUAACGUAGGGAAACUUACGCUAAUACCGCAUACGACCUACGGGUGAAAGCAGGGGAUCUUCGGACCUUGCGCGAUUGAAUGCGCCGAUGUCGGACUAGCUAGUUGGCGGGGUAAAGGCCCACCAAGUGGACGAUCCGUAGCUGGUCUGAGAGGAGGAUCGGCCACACUGGAACUGAGACACGGUCCAGACUCCUACGGGAGGCAGCAGUGGGGAAUAUUGGACAAUGGGCGCAAGCCUGAUCCAGCCAUACCGCGUGGGUGAAGAAGGCCUUCGGGUUGUAAAGCCCUUUUGUUGGGAAAGAAAAGCAGCAGGUUAAUACCCCGCUGUUCUGACGGUACCCAAAGAAUAAGCACCGGCUAACUUCGUG